rnacentral:rRNA from 1 species
CACACCGCCCGUCACAUCACGAAAGCCAGUUGUACUAGAAGCCGGUAAUUCAACCGCAAGGAGAUGGCCGUCCAAGGUAUGACUGGUGAUUGGGGUG